CGCAUGCGAGGGCCACCCAGAGAUCACUUUCCUCGCAGGCCCCCCUUCGGACCCCCGGAGCUCUUCCACCCCAGGGUCGCAGGAGCACCCCCGAUGGGCUUACGAGGACCACUUCCUCCUCCUCCUCCGCCGGGAAUGUUCCCCCGAUUCGCUCCUCCUCCUCCUCCUCCUCCACACCACCUGGGGUACCCCCCUCCCAGACCGCCUUCUGACGGCUCGCCCAGGCCCUGUCCCGCAGGCGGCGAGCAGGCGGGGGACCAGCUGCCCCCCGCGCAGGACAUGAUCUGAGCCCGGACGUCCCUCCCGCGGGACCCCUCCGUGGGAACAAGUGGCAUGUUGCUGAUCCGACCGCAUGUUGAUCCUACCCCUCUGGCACACGAGGUUUUCGAAGUGAAAGGAGGAGGUGGUCAAGAGUUUUUCUGAGCUACAAUGAGCCACAGUGUGCGUUAAGAGCUGUGGGACCUGUGUCACGAUAGAGAAAUGUUUACUUCUGGAUGUGUGUAGUCUUUCGGUCCUCAACAUUUCUUGUGUCUAGGGCUGCUUGAUUGGUUCUUGAGGUGAAUAAAUAAUAACAGAUAAGCAGUGCUCAGUAUUAUUCCUCUAAAUUAGCCAACUGUUGCAGCACUGGACUUAUAUUUCAAAUUUGUUUUUGUUUUGAUUUGCGUCAAUGCCAUGGUGUUUUAUAGACGGAAAUGGUCUGUGAAAUGUGUAAGUUUUUGAAACACUGAAUCUGCAAUGUGCAAUGUUUGAGUAUCAUACUAGAGGUUUAAAUGAAUACAUUAUUUUAAAAAAAUAAUCUAGUUCCACUAUUUAAUAAAGAACAGGAGCAGUAUGUGACUGCUUCUACGCAGAGCCUUUUGAAAUCCCUAUGUAGCUGCCACACAUAAUUUAAUUAAUUGCUUUUAAAUGAUUACAACUAAGUUGCUCAAAUCCUUGUUUUAAAAUGUAUAUAGAGAAUUUGUAUUAAUAUUGUGAAUAGGGAGGCAUUGUACAGAAGUGUCUUUGCCACAUACUGUUUUUAAUUAACUCAUUGUACAGGAUGAUAUGUUCAUGUUUCAUGUAGUCACCCUAUGCCUGGCACUGUUGCAUGGCGAUUAGGACUACUGCCUCACAUCCUGUAGGUCUUUCCUUCGACUCUGAGGGAGGGAGCCUGUCUGUGUGGAGUUUGCAUGGUCCCACAGUAUUCCUGUGGGUUUUCACUUGGCCGUCUGGUUCCUUCCCACCUCCCAAAGACAAGCCCAGUGGGGUUGACUGGAUUCCCUACAUUUUCCCUUUCCUGGGCAGAUGCUUGAUCCCAGUACUUCCAGCUUUGGGACGAACCGGGUGACCCUGAUGGGCCGAAGAGCCCCCUGUGUCUGCUGUGGCCAUUCUGUUGUUCAUUGAGAGAGUCUUAAAGCCGUCCAUACUGUUCCUGCCAGCUGGAGUCUGUCGAAAUGGGGGGACUUAUCAAUUGAUUAAAUGGAAAAGGCAUAACUAAAGUUAAAUUGAUCGUGUGGAUCGUGGUGUGUAAAAAUAAAGAUACUGCUUUUUAAAAUCUA